AUGCUCUCGUACUUCUGUGGAGCAUCAGAGGUCAGAUCUGCAGCCUCAGGAUGAUGAACACACUCACUCUGCUGCUGGCUGCUCUCUCUCUGCCCUGUUGCACAAGUCAGAGUAUGGAGUCCAUGCCUUCCAGUUCAGUCAUGAAAAGGCCCGGGGAGACACUCAGUCUGUCCUGCAGGGGAUCAGGCUUCACUUUCAACUGCUGUGUUAUGAGCUGGAUGAGACAACCUGCAGGAAAAGCACUGGAAUGGAUCGGAAACGGCUAUUCCAACCCAAGCAAGAACACUUAUGCCAGCAGUGCGCGAGGCCGUGUAGAAAUCAGCAGAGAUGAUAGCACAAGCAUGGUGUAUCUGAGACUGUCUAACUUGCAACCACAGGACUCUGCUGUGUAUUACUGUGCCAGAGACACACUGGUUGAAGUGAGCAGAGAGGCUGUACAAUAA